UACGGAGGGUGCAAGCGUUAUCCGGAUUCACUGGGUUUAAAGGGCUCGUAGGCGGCCAACUAAGUCGGAUGUGAAAUCCCCAGGCUCAACCUGGGAACUGCAUCCGAUACUGGAUGGCUUGAAUUCGGGAGAGGGAUGCAGAAUUCCAGGUGUAGCGGUGAAAUGCGUAGAUAUCGAGAGGAACACCUGCGGCGAAGGCGGGUUGCUGGGCUGACACUGACGCUGAUGCGCGAAAGCCAGGGGAGCGAACGGG
rnacentral:rRNA from 1 species